AGAAAACUUGCUUCUGCAUUUCAAGCUUCAUAGCAAAUAGCUCAGAAGCUUAAAACAUGAAAAACUCAUGAAAACUUCCAUCUUCUCCAUAAAAUAAAUCAGCCACCAUCCUCCAUUAAAACCAUGUAAAAAGCUCCUUGAAACUCCAUAAAAUGCCAAAAGAAGCUGCUCAAAAACGACUUCCAAAGCCACCCCAUUUCAGCUCCAAAAACGAGCUGAGAACUGUCCAUAAACCAGCUCCAAACCACCCCAAAAUCAUCUCCAAAAUGCUGCCAAAAAACCAGCAGUUUUCUCCCAAAUACGACUUCAAAUCUCAGCCUAAAACCAGUCCAAAAGUCCUUGUGACAGCAGCUCUUUUGCACAAUAAUCAGCAGCAACACCAUCUCCAACAAACCUCUUAAACCAUCGUGAAACAGCUGCGGAAAAAUAGCGAAAGAAGCAGCUGUAAAACAGCCAUGAAAGCGGCCCAAAUUACCAGGAAAAUGCAGCCAUAAACUUUCCAAAACACCAUAAAAACAUUGCCAUGUGAACCCAUAAAACCCAGCUUCCGAAAGCGCCUCAAAACAGCUUGUUUCCACCAUUGUUGCAGCUUGUUUGGAGUUCGAAAUUGAGAGGUCCGUUUGAGUCAGAAGUUUUCCGGUCGAGGUUUUGUUUGCGGUUUCGGUUCCAGGUCCGGUGCUUUUGUCGGGUUGCGGUUUUCCUCUUCAUUUUGUACAUUGCUCAAGAUUGUUGAAUCAGUUUUUGGAAGAAAAAUUCUCAAAGGUGCAUUUCAAUUACAUCAUGCGUAUUUAAUCCACUGAAUAUCUUAUGCUUCAUUGUUGGAUUGUUUGUCGAGCUAAUGAAUAGCUUCUGUUUAUUUAAGCUUUCAAAUGCAUAUUUGGCUUAGUUUACCCGAUGCUCAUGGAAUUUUGCUUUAAAUGCUAAUGUUAAAUGUUUAUUGACUUUAAUGACAGAUAUUGGGUUGUUUUUCUUACUUUGGUAAUUGGGGUUGGCUGAAAAUCUGGCAAUUAAUUUAGCCUUAGCAGGCCAUUUGGGAGAUAGUUAGAUAAUAAAAUUGGGCCAUUAAGGUUAAUAACCAAUGAGUGGGUCAUCUUACUGUUUGCUUAGCUUUCAUUUCAUUAGCUGUUGAGUUUUUCUUAUUGGUUUCUUGUUUUAAUUAGAAAACUUAUUAAUUUACAUGUUAAAAAAUAUUGUGUUGGGUUUAAUUAGACUUAGAGGAGGAAGAUUUGGGCAGAUGGGUUUUGAAAUUGAAAAAGAAGUCAAAAGUGGAUUUGAGAUUUUUCUUUUUGGGCUCCAUUAAGUUGAACCAUGUCAGGCCCAAUUGAUAAGAGCUAUAGGUAGCCCAAUCUUAGUAAACGCAUUUAACUGGCCCAUUUACACCCUUCUCCACGAAUUCAUUCUAUAACUCUUGAGCCUCACAACAAUCUCAGAUUCAGAGAAAAAUAAUUCAAGAACAUCGUAGCUUGCUUUAGGGAUUAAUAAAUCAUCGUGACUAUGGGUACGGUUCCCGUGGCAUAGUCACGAUACAUAACUCUAAAUUCAAGUACGCGUUUCACGCGACUUGACCCUAACUUCAAAUAAUAAAAUAAACAUGUUGUAAAUCGCAGGUGCAUUUCACGUGGCGCGGUUUGCAAUGUGUACCAAAACUAUAAGUGUACAAAAUCGUAACUUGUUCAAAAAAUAAUUCCAUAAAUACUAAAAGCAGUUAAAAUAAAUUAAAAGCGGUAAAUGCACAAUAGGUUUAAAACAUGUAAUAACCCAGAUAAUUAGGCCAAUUAUUAAUAGUUGAGCGACCGUGCUAAAGCCACGGAACUCGGGAGUGCCUCACACCUUCUCCCGGGUUAACAGAAUUCCUUAUCUUGUCUUCUGUGUUCGCGGACCAAAAGUAGAGUCAUUUUCCUUGAUUUGGAAUUUUAAAAUAAAUCGGUGACUUGGGACACCAUAAUAAUUAUUUCAAGUGGCGACUCUGAAUUAAAUAAAUAAUCUCAUUUCGAAUAAUGUCACUUUAAUUGGAAAAACUCCCUUUCCUUCAGAAAAAAGGAGGUGUGACAGGUACCAUCAGGUAAGGGUUAAAGAGACAGAUAUUCCGAAUACAACAUUCAGGACCAGAUACGGACACUUUGAGUUUCGUGUUAUGUCGUUCGAUUUGACCAAUGCCCCAGCAGUAUUCAUGGACUUGAUGAACCAUUUGUUCAGGCUCUUUCUAGAUCUAUUCGUGAUUGUAUUUAUAGAUGAUAUUUUGGUUUAUUACCGUUCAAAGGCUAAGCAUGCAGAUCAUUUGCGUAUUGUGCUCAGAGUUCUACUAAAAAGGAAGUUGUACGCAAAAUUCUCUAAAUGUGAAUUCUGGUUGAAUUUUGUAACUUUCCUUGGGCAUAUUAUUUCAGGUAAGGGUACCCGGAUUGAUACACAAAAAAUCGAGGAAGUGAAGACUUGGCCUAGACCCACGACACCGAUGGAGGUUCGUAGCUUCCUGUGUUUGGCAGGUUAUUACAUGAGAUUUGUAGAGGACUUUUCUUAUCUUUCAGCACCAUUGACAAAGUUGACUCAGAAGGCAACUAAGUUUCAGUAGACUAAUGCUUGUGAGCACAGUUUCCAGGCAUUGAAGGAUAGAUUGACUUCAGCACCGGUUCUGACACUUCCAGAGGGAACCGAUGGUUAUGCUAGCUAUUAUAAUACUUCAGGCGUUGGAUUGGGUUGUGUAUUGAUGUAGCAUGGUAUGGUUGCCGCUUAUGCUUCUAGGCAACUAAGGAAGCAUGAGAAGAAUUACCCGACCCAUAAUUUAGAGUUAGCCGUGGUGAUUCAUGCACUGACGAUGUGAAGGCACUAUUUGUAUGGCAUACAUGUUAAUAUCUACUCGGAUCAUAAGAGCCUUCAGUAUAUCUUCAAGAAAAAGGAAUUGAAUUUACGUCGGAGGCGAUGGUUGGAGCUACUGAAAGACUAUGAUGUUGAUAUUUUACACCAUCCAGGGAAGACGCCCUAAUUCGUAGAUCUUUGGGUAGCCUAUCAUAUUUACAACCAGAGAAGAGUGAGAUAGCCUGUGAGAUUUAUCAGCUAGCUAGUCGUGCAGUUCAAUUACUGGAUUCGGGUGAUACCAGAGUUACUAUUUAGGACACGAUAACAUCCUCUUUAGUAACUGAAGUGAAGGAACGCCAGCAUAAGGAUCAUGUGCUAGCUCAUUACAGGGAUACAUCCCCUUAAAAGGAGAAGACACCAUUUGAGAUUACAGGAGAUGGAGUCCUUAGAUAUCGAGGUCAAUUAUGUGUUCCUAAUGUGGCAGGACUGCACCGGCAGGCUAUGGGAGAAACUCAUUAUUCUCGUUAUUCUGUUCAUCCAGGAGCGAUGAAAAUGUAUCAUGAUAUCAGGAAAAUAUACUGGUGGGAUAAAAUCAAGAAGGAUAUAGCAGAGUUUGUUGCUCAGUCCGGUAAUUGUCAGCAGGUUAAGAUUGAGCAUCAGAAAGCUGGUGGAUUAUUGCAGGCUAUAGAGAUUCUGACUUGGAAAUGGGAAGUAAUUAAUAUGGAUUUCAUCAUAGGAUUACCUCGUGCCCAGCGCAAGUUCGAUUCUAUAUGCGUGAUUGUUGAUAGACUUACAAAAUCAACCCAUUUUCUUAUUGUCAGGACUACAUAUUUAGCAGAGGAUUAUGCAAGGGUUUACAUUAAGGAGAUAGUACGACUUCAUGGUAUCCCUAUAUCUGUUAUCUCAGAUAGAGGUGCUCAGUUUACAGCUAAUUCUGGAGGUCCUUCCAAAAGGAAUUGGGGACUCAGGUAAGUCUUAGUACAACAUUUCAUUCCCAGACAAACGGUCAGGUUGAGCGUACUAUUCAGACACUGGAGGAUAUGCUACGGGCUUGUGUGAUAGAAUUCAGGGGUAGCUGGGAUGAUCAUCUUCCUCUUAUCGAGUUCGCAUUUAAUAAUUAGUUAUCAUUCCAUCAUUCAGAUGGCUCCAUAUGAAGUUCUUUACGGACGGAAGUGUAGGUCAUCUAUCGGAUGGUUCAAUGUUGGGGAAACUAAGUUAGUAGGACCAGAGUUGGUACAAUAGGUAGUUGAGAAGAUUAAGCUUAUAAGGGAAAGGCUAUUAGCAACUCAGAGUCGUCAGAAGUCCUAUGCAGAUAAUCGACGAUGAGACUUGGAGUUUUAGGUAGACGACUGGGUAUUCCUAAAGGUAUCACCGAUGAAAGGCGUUAUGAGAUUCGGUAAGAAAGGAAAUCUUAGCCCUCGGUACAUUGGACCUUAUAAGAUUAUUCGUAGAGUAGGCCAUGUAGCAUAUGAGUUAGACUUGCCUUCCAACUUGGAGUCUGUACAUCCAGUCUUUCAUGUGUCUAUGCUCUGUAAGUGUAUCAGAGAUUCGUUUAGAGUCGUUCCAGUUGAUGAUGUUCAGGUCACAGAGCAACUAUCAUAUGAGGAAUAUCCCAUUCCGAUACGAGAUAGACAUGUCCGGAGAUUGAGAACUAAGGACGUAGCUUCAGUUAAAGUACUUUGGAGAAAUAAGAAUGUGGAGGAGAUGACUUGGGAAGCUGAAGAAGACAUGAAGUCUAGGUAUCCUUACUUGUUUCCGCUUCUGGAGGAGGAACCGACUGAGACAUCACAACCUUUAGGUGCAUAUACGAUACUGGAUUCUUAUGUUAGUUAUUGUCGUUGGUCGUGUGAGGCCAUUGGUGUUAUUGAUGAUUGUGGCCCUGUAUGGCUUUGUAUUGUUGGGUUUGCUACAUGACAGGUUGGUAGUAGUACCAUUACAGAGGAGACUUUUCUAAUAUUUCUAUAUAUCUUUGAGAGUUUAACAUUCGAGGAUGAAUGUUUCUAAGGGGGGAAGAUUGUUACAUCCUGUGCGUGCCAAGAUGACGUAUAAUGAAUAUGAGACUUGUUAGUCAUGAUUUAAAUGAGUCUAAAAUCAUAAUAUGACUAUAUAUGAUGUUUGGAUAUAAAAUAUAUAGUUUGGGAAAAAUCUAAUUUAAGUUGCGAAAAAUCCGACAAAAGAUUUGCCUUGUAAUUAAGCUUUUUGAGCAAUAUAUUUCGUGUGUUAUAUGAGGUAUUCUUGGGGAUAUAUUUUACACCAAAUUGAAGGUCUUCGAAUGCAGUUUCCAACACUCUUAACCGUUACAGUGACCAUGACCAAAUAAGACCUAUAAACUUACCCUUAAGCUUUCAACAAGGGUUUCAAAAAGGAUUAACAUCUCGGGUACAAAAUCAAGAAGCGAUAACAUUAGAACGAUACCUAUGAUAUAAGUAUCAUUAUACCGCCUCUCGUUUUCUUUGUAGUUUGUAUUUUGGAAGGUACUUCAUAGUUAAAUAAAUGCCUACUUUCUUUAUUUAAGCUUUUAAAUCUCAAGGAAGGUUGAUAAAUUCGUUUCCCAAUAGUUAGGACUCACGGGAUGG
rnacentral:lncRNA from 1 species